GCCUCUAGCCUAGUGGUUAAGGCUUAUAAGUAGCAUUUCCAAGACCUGGGUUCGAUACCCCUCGGGGGCG
rnacentral:tRNA from 7 species